UUCCGGUUGAUCCCGCCGGACCUGACUGCUAUCGGAUUAAUACUAAGCCAUGCGAGUCUUUGCAGUAAUGCAAGGCAUACGGCUCAGUAACACGUAGUCAACCUACCCUAUGGACGAGGAUAAUCUCGGGAAACUGAGCAUAAUACUCGAUAGACCAUAAUGCCUGGAAUGGUUUAUGGUUAAAAUGAUUCAUCGCCAUAGGAUGGGACUGCGGCCUAUCAGCUUGUUGGUGAGGUAAUGGCCCACCAAGGCGAUUACAGGUACGGGCUCUGAGAGGAGAAGCCCGGAGAUGGGUACUGAGACACGGACCCAGGCCCUAUGGGGCGCAGCAGGCGAGAAAACUUUGCAAUGUGCGAAAGCACGACAAGGUUAGUCCGAGUGAUUUCUGCUAAAGAGAUCUUUUGCAAGUUGUAAAACCACUAGUGAAUAAGGGGUGGGCAAGUUCUGGUGUCAGCCGCCGCGGUAAAACCAGCACCUCAAGUGGUCAGGAGGAUUAUUGGGCCUAAAGCAUCCGUAGCCUGCUUUGUAAGUUUUCGGUUAAAUCCAUGCGCUCAACGUAUGGGCUGCCGAAAAUACUGCAAAGCUAGGGAGUGGGAGAGGUAGACGGUACUCAGUAGGAAGGGGUAAAAUCCUUUGAUCUAUUGAUGACCACCUGUGGCGAAGGCGGUCUACCAGAACACGUUCGACGGUGAGGGAUGAAAGCUGGGGGAGCAAACCGGAUUAGAUACCCGGGUAGUCCCAGCUGUAAACGAUGCAGACUCGAUGAUGCAUUGGCAUAUAGCUAGUGCAGUGUCGCAGGGAAGCCGUUAAGUCUGCCGCCUGGGAAGUACGUACGCAAGUAUGAAACUUAAAGGAAUUGGCGGGGGAGCACCACAAGGGGUGAAGCCUGCGGUUCAAUUGGAUUCAACGCCGGA
rnacentral:rRNA from 1 species